UUUCAAAUCAUAUUUUCGCAUAGUCAUAUAUUAUUUGACCUGUUUUGUUACAGGCGACAUUGGAAAUUGGCGCAAAGUCAAUUAACAACUGUUAGUAGUGAAUUAGGGCACAGAGCCAGAGUCGUUUUGAAAUCUUCAAAGAUUUUUAGAGGAUUUGUAUGACUUAAAAAAACGAAAGCAAAGAUUUGCAGUCUUGCAGAGGAUUUCUCUAUGAAGGGUUAAGAUCUUCUAAUGUAUACUCUCGCAAAAAAAAAAAGAAAAAAAGAUCAUCGAAAGCACACGAUUGUGGUAGCUUCUAAUGCGGACAUGCC
rnacentral:lncRNA from 1 species